GGAAGAAGGCAGCGGCUUCCGAACGCCAUUCUGAACAGUUUCCGGCGGCAUUGGCGACCGAGUCGCGUGGCGAUCGACUCCCAUCGCCGUGAGAUUUCUUUUGGCUGCAGCGGCGACGCGAAUGGUGGCCGGAGAUGGAAGUUCGUGGUGGAGAGAGAAAGUGGGUGGCAACCGUGUUUUCGGGCUUUUCCGGCGAGCUUUGGAUGAUCGGGGGGUAUAUCCGGACUCUUCUUAGCUCAAGCUUCACAAUGACACCGGUUUCGUGGCGAUCGGACUCCGUUUGCAAAUCGACGGCCGAGAUCGUUUGUAAAUCUCUCCGGAUGAUCGAGGGUCGAAACGGAAGAUCGAAAGCAAAGAUCGUCAUCAACGUAUUGUUUCAAGUCCGUUGGUAUGUUCAGAUCGUCGAUCGGACUCCGGCAGCUGGAGGCGAGUCAACCGAGCGAUCAAGCGUCUCGAUAAAUCCGUCAGUUUGGCUCACUCCACCCGAGGCAUCGGAGCAGAGAUAGGAGGUCAUUAAAGCUAUCUGUGAUUGUUAAUCUUUCCGCAGCUUUUAUCUAGCAACCCAACUCCUUCAUCAUCAGGUAAUGUAAUUGAUUUGGUAUGUUAAAUUGUAAAAUCUUAGAUUCUUCGCAGUAAAGUAAUAGACUUAUUAGUUGUAAUUUUGUGUGAUCUCAGGUCUCACCUAAUUCUUCUGACAGACCGAAUUAAAUAUGUAAAAUUUAACGGUUAAAAUAAUUAUGGCAUCAGUAAUAUUAGAUGAGAUUUAAUUGA